UCGAUCUCAAAUCAAGUAAGACUACCCGCUGAACUUAA
rnacentral:rRNA from 7 species